rnacentral:rRNA from 1 species
UACGUAGGGUGCAAGCGUUAUCCGGAAUUAUUGGGCGUAAAGAGCUCGUAGGCGGCUUGUCGCGUCGACUGUGAAAUCCCGCGGCUCAACUGCGGGUCUGCAGUCGAUACGGGCAGGCUAGAGUUCGGUAGGGGGAGACUGGAAUUCCUGGUGUAGCGGUGAAAUGCGCAGAUAUCAGGAGGAACACCGGUGGCGAAGGCGGGUCUCUGGGCCGAUACUGACGCUGAGGAGCGAAAGCGUGGGGAGCGAACAGG